UUAUUCUCCCCCUUGCUCGCUCGCUAUAGAUGUAAAACAACAGCGUUUUUCUUCAUAGCUUUGUUCGUUUCCCCUCCUUUCCUUUCUCCUCCCAAUUUACAUCUCUUUUAUCAGCCAUUGUUUUGCCCUAUGCUUCCUGUUCUCCUUCAAUUCCUGUGUUUCAGUUUUCCUUUGAUUUGAGAAUGCACAGGUGCCGAGUGGUGGAUUCAACACUUCGGGAACUCUUUUUCCCUUCCAAGUCGGGUGCCAUUUAUCAGUUGUGAAAAUUAUGAAUUCCUUGGUUCUAUGCCAUGGAUGAUUGUGCUGUUCAGUUUGGAUUUGGAAUUCUUUUGAGGAUGCUGGCAGCCCUGUGCUUAUACUGUCAUCUAAUUCGGAAGUGGGUUAGUACAGAUGGUGCCAUUCAUGCUUCAUAAACAUCAGUUCCCUUGGUUGCUCCAUUAUUAGGCGUGAUUUAUGGUGGAGAGCUGGAUGCUUCUUCUCUAAUAUGAUUAUCAGAAAAAGAUGAGAAGCAUCUUAAAUUGAAUCAUGCCUCCAGAAUUAUAUAUGGAGUUAUGGACGACAUACUGUAAGUUUAUUUCUAUUAAGAUUUAUGCAGCUUUAUAUGUUACAUACUGUAGUAACAUGUUGAUUAUAGAUCAGAGGAGUUUGAAACACAUAUUUCAUUUUGUACCUUGUAUAGGUAUUUUAUCAUCCUCAUUAUUUGCAGUUUAAGCUGGCUUCUUAUCUUAAGCAAUGAGAUAUAGUAAUGUAAAUUACUUUGGUUUUUCAGGCGAUUGAGCUUCACAUAUUAAUACUUUGCAUUUCAUAUAUUGGAGGGUUGUUUUUGCAUACGUAAAGGUGCAGCCAAUUUUAUAUGUUCCCCAAAAAAAGACAGUUAGAAGAUGCUUUUAUGUAUAUAUUUAUCAAGUGACAUGGCCUUUGCAACUUUUAAAUUUGCUUCAGUUAGAUAUGUUAAACGCAUGCAGCUGCUAGCUUUAGAAAUUUGUAUAUUUGUAGUGCACAUAGAAGCUCAAUGGUCAAUGGAAUGGGUGCAAGUUUGAUGUGAAAAAGCCCUUUACGGAUUUCUGCCUUCUUGCAUAAUUCAAUGCUAACUUUGUAAUGAAUUUAUUUAUGUAUUUAUUUAUUUUUGGUAUGUAAUUUAUUAAUAAAUUCUGAGAAAUGUUUAUCUUGAUAAACCCCCUUUUUGGGUUUAAUUUUUAGUGCUC